rnacentral:misc_RNA from 1 species
UACGGAGGGUGCAAGCGUUAAUCGGAAUUACUGGGCGUAAAGCGCGCGUAGGUGGCUUGAUAAGCCGGUUGUGAAAGCCCCGGGCUCAACCUGGGCACGGCAUCCGGACCUGUCAAGCUAGAGUGCAGGUGAGGAAGGUAGAAUUCCGGGUGUAGCGGUGAAAUGCGGAGAGAUCGGGAGGAAUACCAGUGGCGAAGGCGGCCUUCUGGACUGACACUGACACUGAGGUGCGAAAGCGGGGGUAGCAAACAGG